AGUGAACGCUGGCGGUAGGCCUAACACAUGCAAGUCGAACGGCAGCACAGUAAGAGCUUGCUCUUACGGGUGGCGAGUGGCGGACGGGUGAGGAAUACAUCGGAAUCUACUUUUUCGUGGGGGAUAACGUAGGGAAACUUACGCUAAUACCGCAUACGACCUACGGGUGAAAGCAGGGGAUCUUCGGACCUUGCGCGAAUGAAUGAGCCGAUGUCGGAUUAGCUAGUUGGCGGGGUAAAGGCCCACCAAGGCGACGAUCCGUAGCUGGUCUGAGAGGCUGAUCAGCCACAUUGGAACUUAGACACGGUCCAUACUCCUACGGUAGGCACCAGUGGGGAAUAUUGGACAAUGGGCGCAAGCCUGAUCCAGCCAUCCCGCGUGGGUGAAGAAGGCCUUCGGGUUGUAAAGCCCUUUUUUUGGGAAAGAAAAGCAGCAGGUUAAUACCCCGCUGUUCUGACGGUACCCAAAGAAUAAGCACCGGCUAACUUCGUG
rnacentral:rRNA from 1 species